UGGGGAAUAUUGGACAAUGGGCGCAAGCCUGAUCCAGCCAUGCCGCGUGAGUGAUGAAGGCCUUAGGGUUGUAAAGCUCUUUCGCCGGUGAAGAUAAUGACGGUAACCGGAGAAGAAGCCCCGGCUAACUUCGUGCCAGCAGCCGCGGUAAUACGAAGGGGGCUAGCGUUGCUCGGAAUCACUGGGCGUAAAGCGCACGUAGGCGGAUCGUUAAGUCAGGGGUGAAAUCCUGGAGCUCAACUCCAGAACUGCCCUUGAUACUGGCGAUCUCGAGUUCGAGAGAGGUUGGUGGAACUCCGAGUGUAGAGGUGAAAUUCGUAGAUAUUCGGAAGAACACCAGUGGCGAAGGCGGCCAACUGGCUCGAUACUGACGCUGAGGUGCGAAAGCGUGGGGAGCAAAACAGGAUUAGAUACCCUGGUAGUCCACGCCGUAAAACGAUGGAUGCUAGCCGUUGGGGGGUUUACCUCUCAGUGGCGCAGCUAACGCCUUAAGCAUCCCGCCUGGGGAGUACGGUCGCAAGAUU
rnacentral:rRNA from 1 species